rnacentral:sRNA from 1 species
CCCAUAUAAUACUUGCAGUACACACAUGUCAACACACACACACACACACACACACACUCACCCCUAAUCAGAAAGGUUUAUUUAAUUAAUGAUAGAUGCAUUCUCAAAUCUCAUUUCAAUUAAUCGCGACACCAUGCUGACAACAGUAGAUAGCAGUUCAGUUUCCACGCUGAAGCUCAUCUUGUAGCCUCCUGUGCUUGUAAAAAAGCACUUUGUGAACCAUCAGAUCUCCCAUCCAAUGGGUUGUUAAAUCAUUGUUCCUCUAACUAACCAAUAGUUAUCACUUAGUUAUUAUUAAACAUUGUUAGUUAACAUGGCUGCAACCCACAGUUUGACAGCGGCAAGUGGGGCCGAUGUCCACAUUUGUUGUUGUUUGUACAUCGACAGUAGGAUAAUAUCAUGCGGGGGCGAGAUGUGUGCACAUGCACUGGUGGUUGUGAAGGAGUGGAAAUAAAAAGAGAAGAAAUUUAAAAAAAAAAAAAAAAAUGCCAACUAAAGGAGAAUGGGUAGUUACAUAGUUAUGUAUUUGUACAGGGGUUGUGCUGUUUGGUAUUUGUCUGAUUAUCUGAUUAUUUGAUUAUUUGAUUAUUUGUACAUUUUACACCUUAUCCAUCUCGCGUGUUCGCGUGUUUGUUCACAUCCAACAAUCCAUGAUACCACAGGGCUGGUGUGGGGGACGUGAGUAUGCGUUGAAUAUCGGUUGGGAUGGGAAGGAAGGAGAGGCG